rnacentral:misc_RNA from 1 species
AUUUUUUUUUUUUUUAAAUUUCCCUAUUAUGUUUGAAAAAACUGAGUUAAACUCUCAAAGGGCUUAUUUUAAACCAUUAUACCAUAAUGAAUUUUUAGAAUCAUGGUAGUCUAUUCCUUGGCCUCUACCUCCUUUUCAUCAGUUAAAAAGAAAGGGAUUCAGCUCUGCAAAACUAAUGGUAAUGGGAUCUCAUAAUAUAUAUAUAAUGUGAAGUUGGAUGAGAUUUUGCAUCUUUGUUCUUUCCUCUGAUUCUAGACAAAUGAUAUGCAUUUUAAUAGGAUAUUGGUUUAUUGUUAAUGAAUUCUAUGUAUAAAUCUUCUCUCUGCUUUUUCUUGUGCUUGGCAGUGAUUCGUCA